ensembl:lncRNA
CUAAUUUCAAGUCUGUUAAGUCCAAAAGCCACGGGGCUGCCGAAAAACAGAACUCACUUUUAGCCAGCAAGCCCCCAGAGUUUACAUAAAAUUCAAAGAGGAAGGCUGGAGACAGGCUCUGCUGAAAACAAAAUAAAAGCUAGUGACACUCAUGUCCAGCCCUGGCCAAGUCUCUCCCUCUGGAAGAGGCUGUGAAGGGCGUGGUGCAGACGCUUCACUCAACGAACGCACAGCUGUGCUGGUGAGGAUGUUCAACCCCGGUCUAGCAGCCAUGGCUUGUUUCUCCUCUCACUUCCCCUCCUUUGAGUCUGUCUGAGUUUUUUCAACAGGAGACUUGUGCAAAGUGACUAGAAUACAAGGGGACAUGGUUUGUUCUAAAUAAGCUCAAUACAUAAGCGCUCAACUUGGCUCGGUCUUGAUCCUGAUGGUUGGAGUUUGGGGAACUUCCAGGCUGGACUUCUUGAGGCUGGGCUGGCCUGCUGUGCAGGGGAACCAUGACCAUACUAUGUGCAAGCAGUGAGGGUCACAGUGCCGGCUCAGCAUGUUGGACAGGAUGACUCUGCUGGCAAGAGUGUCUUGGGCAUCUGAGAGACUCAGGCUGCCUAGCUGUAGCCCUGCCACCCCUCCUGUCAUGGCAUGCAGCCCAGGCUGUCUUUCAGCAGUUUUGAGCCUCCAAACAGGCUCAUCUGACUCAGCCCCCAGACUCUGCUGGAACAGAGAAAAUGCAUCCCAUGGUGCUGCGUGGCAAGGUCAUCUCUGAGGUCUCCGUGUUUCUUCCACAACUUGGUAGUGCUGUCUUCAACUAAACCCAUGUCAAAGGCUUUGGGCUCCUGGUUAUUUCUAAAGGCUUUGGAACACAGCAUUCUCUCGAGUACUUUCCCCAGCAGCUCCCUUGCUUCAUGCACUUAGCCCUCAAGGCUAAGUUGGUGCUGCCCACUAUCUGCUGUCAGCCACUGUGGCUCCCUGUGAAGGUGAGGUCUGCAUCAGACAGUCAGAGCCAGAGGCGGAGUAAAAAGUGAUAAGGUGGAGACAAAGCAGGAGGGUGCAUUCUGCAGUAGAUCCAGAAUGCCAGGGUUGACUCAGGAGGAAGAAUUCAGUCAUGCAGAGGUCCUGAAAACUGCAUGUUCUUCGUGUUCAGAUCAUCCCUGAUUAUAAUUGAGGAGGAAAUCAGAACAGUCAAGAAUUGGGCUGACUGCCAAAUGGCAUUUCUGAAAUGAAGACCACACCUCUCAAGUGCCAACUCUGCGGCCAGAUGACUUCCUUUGGGAUGACUAGCCCUGCAUCUCAUUCAGACUCCUUCCCAGCGGCCAGCACACAUACCAUCAGGAUUUAAUGGUCUAGCUCUCCUGCCCAAGAAGAUGAUGCUGUGGCGCCUCCACCCCUCUUCAGUGUACCCUCUGCAGUUUGUACCCGCCACCAACUCCAGGAAGAUGGCUUCAGGGAGGAGGAAGCACUCCUCAUCCUCACCCCAGUGGUGCUGGAAGGAGCCUGACAUUCAGGUUAACAGAGAAUGAAGGUUGUCUUCUACCUGCUUCCAUCAGUCUUAAUUAUGUGACCCUGACAGCUUUAAUUGCUACCUUACAAACAUAAGUAAUAAAAUAUAAAAUGUCUAAGUGAACUGUGGC